AUUCGUUUAUUUUGUUGUCGAUAACAAACUAUUUCCGUGAAUGGCCGACUGUCACUCAUAAACCACGUUUCGAGUAAAUUGCUUGCGAAUAGAGAACUGCAAAACAGUGGCGCGCAAAACAAAUACGAAAGCACAACCUAUAUACCAAAAUCUAAAGCAAAACUU